CUAAGUGGGCUUGAUUGUGGGGAAAACUCCACAGUUAAGCGCGCUUGAGCCAGAGACGUCUUGGGAUGGGUGACCACCUGGGAAGUCCUGGUUACUGGGU
rnacentral:rRNA from 1 species